UCCCUGGUGGUCUAGCAGCUAAGGAUCCUGUGCUCUCACUGCUGCAGCCAGGUUCGAUUCCCGGGCAGGGAA